UUCCAAUAGCCAAUGAUAGAGACCACCACUGAAACCAUUAUUCUAUGAGUAUAAUUUUAAGUUUUCUCUAGCUCUUAAUCAGGGCUUGACCCCCCAAAAUACUGGAAUCUACCAGAUUCAUAUUAAGAUAAUGAGAAAAAACAAGGGAGAUUAAAUUAUAGCCUAGGGGAACUGGGACAAAGCUGGAGAGUCAUUUGGGAAUCCUGGGAAAGCAUCAGAAUCUCUGUUAGGUAUUUUUAAAUAAAAAAAAUACCUAAGAAAACAGUGAGAUAAGACCUAAGAGUCUAUCACUCUACCCAACAAAAGCCAGGAGAUAAGUAAAUAAGUAAGUAAGUAAAAAAAUAAAUAGGAACUAAAAAUCCCGACUGAAUCAAGGACGCUUUGUCCUACCUAGAGCUGCCAGGAACUCGUGACAUCCUGGGAGCCGCCACAGCUGGACACUGAUGGAGACCUGGAUGGGAGCCGACGCAAAAUCCUGCUCCUUCUCGCCAGCCUGGAGCUGGACCAGCACCUGGUGGAGCUGAGCAAGGCAGACAGACAGCUCAGAUUUCCAGCCCUCCUGGGUUCAAGAUGUUUGGAUAUGCUUUGUUCUGGAAGUGUCUUCCUGAUGUUAUUCAAAAAGCCGACAUAACACACUGACUACAAAGUGAGUGGGAGCUCAGUGGAGGGGCAGUCGCUGAGUGGAGCCACGUUUCCCAAACCCCUGGUCGAGGAGGGCCGGGGGAGCCACUCUAGGUUCAGAGGUUCCUCUGCGGGGGAGCAGUGGUAUUUCCACAUAGAAAAUUCUCUGCCUGAAAUAAAGCCUGCAGACAUAUCUUUAA